UACGUAGGGGGCAAGCGUUGUCCGGAUUUAUUGGGCGUAAAGAGCGUGUAGGCGGCCUUACAGGUCAGCUGUGAAAACUCGAGGCUCAACCUCGAGACGUCGGUUGAAACCGUAAGGCUAGAGUCCGGAAGAGGAGAGUGGAAUUCCCGGUGUAGCGGUGAAAUGCGCAGAUAUCGGGAAGAACACCCGUGGCGAAGGCGGUUCUCUGGGACGGUACUGACGCUGAGACGCAAAAGCGUGGGGAGCGAACAGG
rnacentral:rRNA from 1 species